CCUACGGGAGGCAGCAGUGAGGAAUAUUGGUCAAUGGACGAAAGUCUGAACCAGCCAAGUAGCGUGAAGGAUGACUGCCCUAUGGGUUGUAAACUUCUUUUAUAUGGGAAUAAAACGUUCCACGUGUGGGAUUUUGUAUGUACCAUAUGAAUAAGGAUCGGCUAACUCCGUGCCAGCAGCCGCGGUAAUACGGAGGAUCCGAGCGUUAUCCGGAUUUAUUGGGUUUAAAGGGAGCGUAGGUGGAUUGUUAAGUCAGUUGUGAAAGUUUGCGGCUCAACCGUAAAAUUGCAGUUAAAACUGGCGGUCUUGAGUACAGUGGAGGUGGGCGGAAUUCGUGGUGUAGCGGUGAAAUGCUUAGAUAUCACGAAGAACUCCGAUUGCGAAGGCAGCUCACUGGACUGAAACUGACACUGAGGCUCGAAAGUGUGGGUAUCAAACAGGAUUAGAUACCCGAGUAGUC
rnacentral:rRNA from 1 species